GCAGCUGCCCGCUCCAGGGCCUUGGUGUUAAAGGCGGGCCCCACUCGCGCAAGGGGCGGUGUGCCCGAGUUGGGGUCCCCGGCCGCGUGGUGAGCCCGAGUACUCGGGGUGCGUGUGCACGACAGGCGUGGGCGUGGGUGCCGGGGACGCGCGUGGGAUGCAGGGCCGCCGCCCGGUGCUUCCUUUGUUCCCGCGCCGAGCUGCAGGCGGUGGUGUCGCGGCCUCCCUCCGUGCCCCGCCCUGCCGUCAUCUGUAGUGGGAGAAGGUCUCAGUUCCUGCGAGGCAAGUGUCCGUGGGCCCUGCCGCGGUGGCUCACUCCCUUGACCCCGGAAUUACACUGGAGAAAGCCGUGCAUCCCCUCCACAGCCUGGACUCAGAACCUGCUCAAGUCCCCCAGCACCAAAGUGGCAUUCCAGCUUCCAGGCCUAGGGGACCCAGGCUCCAGGACCAGCUUGUGUGUGUGUGUGUGUGUGUGUGUGUGUGUGUGUGUGUCGCGGGGGGUGGGGAGAGGUCGAGCUUAGAGGUGACCCAGGAGGGCAGCGUGGCAGGUGUCCGGUGAGAGGGCCUCAGGUCAUCCCAGUACAAGGACACAAAAGUCCACAGACUGUCUGCUAAGUGGGGACCCAGGUCGGAGAUCGCUAAGCCGAGCCAGACAGAGGUGUAGUCUCCAAGAGCCGGUGCCACCCACUUAGGCACCUGCGUGCGGGGACUGGAGGCUUGCAAUGGCAGAUCCUCAGGCCACCAAAGCUGAAGCCACUGGUGACCAUGGUAUGCCUGUGUCCCUCCAGCCCCAUCACUCUCCCACAACUGGAUUUUCCGGUUUGUCAGUUGGGUGUCUUUUUAUCCAUCACCUAGGCAGCCGCUUCUUUUUUGUUGUUAGCUUUGUUUUUCGAGACAGGGUUUCCCUGUGCAUCCCUGGCUGUCCUAGAAUUCACUUUGUGAACCAGGUUGGCCUGGAACUCACAGAGAUCCUCCUGCCUCUGCCUCUGAGUGCUGGGAUUAAAGGUGUGCGCCACCACCGCCCGGCACACCUAGGCAGCUUUUAAGUCCAGACAGCCCUGCUCAGAACCCAGCCAGUACUUGUGAGCCCCCCAGUGGCUGCUUGCCCUGCACUGGGUGAGCAAGGUUACUCUGGGACCCCUGACCCUGGCCGGGGCACAGUGGUUAGGGACACAGACUGGAUUCUGUACCAGUUUUUCUGCCUUUGUAGGAGGCUCCUGCACACCACACAUUCUGAAUCUCAGGACAGGGACAGUAGGACUCCCCACCCUUUGCUGGUACCUAGAAAGUGAGCCAUUACUUGACCCUGUUUACCCAUUUUCAGGGCCCAUUCAGGGGCCCCCAGGAACCCCACUCACCACCCCCAAAGACAGCACCCAGUCUUGAGAGGGCUGGACUCUAUGGUGUAGCUGCUGUGUUGGCAGCUACACCCCAGGAAUUCUGACCCAGAUGUGAGAAGAUGGGGGGCUCAUGGCCCUGAUGUAUGGCUCUGGGUGGGGGGAUGGACCCAGGUGCAGCCCCAGGAAGGUGAUAUACACAAUUACAGCUGACCGGCUCACUCCUGUCCUGCCAUAAAUGACAGUGAAAGAGUAGGUCCAAGGACAGUGAGGUCUAGCCUGGGCUGUGGCCUGGGCAGGGAGGGGAACAGGUCUCUGGUAAGAAAGGUGGGUCAGGCCAGGACUGAAGAAGGGGUCCUUGCUAGCCAAGGUCAUUCCAAGACUCUGGCCUUUGCUGUCCAGUUGGCAAAAUUCCCAUGACUGGGGGACGGGGCUGAAUGGCGACUCCUAUUUGCUGGGAGCCUGGGUUGUCCUGUUGCCUGUAAACUGCUGACACAGUAAGUCGUCCCAUUCCUGGGAGGUCUGGGGUGGGGUGGAAGAGGGGCCCAACUCUGCCAGCUUCUUGGAAGCAUCCAAUUCUUGGCUGGGCCAGCGCUGGGGUACCUGAGAGGGUUUGAGGGUUGGGAGCGGUUGGGGACUCACAUUUCCCCUCCUUCAUCAAUAGUCAUUUAUUGAACAUCCACUGUUUGCCCCCGGCUCACACUGAGCAGGACAAACUCUGUUCCCUCUGCUCCUACGGGGCCAUGUCUACUGGGGCUGGGCACUAAGUGUGUAUUUAUUAUUAUUGUUACUAUAAAUGUAUAUAGGUGGUACAUGUGCACACGUGUGUGUAUGUGGAGGCCAGAGGACAUCAGGUGUUCUGCUCUGUCACCUUGUUGAGACCAAUCUCUCACUAAGCCUAGACUUAGACAAGUGACCGACAAGCCCUAGUGAUCUUCCCACCCCAUCCCUCACAGCUCUGCGGUCACAGGCAUGCACAUGGCCACGGGUGCUGAGGAUUCGAGCUCAGGGCCGCAUGCUUGCACAAGUACUCUUGCCCACUGAGCCGUCUCAGCAGCCCCUGAGUAAGUACUAUUUGAUUCCAAGGACAGGAUAUGCAGGAGUUGGUAUAGACUGGGGUGUGGGGAGCAGAGGCCCCACAAAUACACAGAUAGCCAUCCAUUCACAGCCUGAGGUAGGAAGGGUGGGGCUUUUGCGUGGCAGGUAGGCCGGCUGUGGGCCACAGCUCCAGAAGGAAAAGGAACCAGCAGGUGAAGCUUUCAGGGGAGAAGUGAACAGAGUCCCGGACUAGGGCAACUCUGGGUCUUGCCCCAAGUCUGUGGGAGGUGGGAGCCCUAUGGCUCCCAAGGUGCAGCCACACCUGAGCCAGCCCAGGUAGGAUACUGAUGUUCUGAGAAGCCCCAAGUGGACCAUGGUCUCUGAGGAGAAGACAGAUGGAGGCUGAGGUUGUGGAGAGGCAGCACUUGACCUUGGACAUUCUGUAUGCACGUGGGCAGGGAGGAAACAGAAUAUGGAGGUAGCAGAUAGCCACUAGGCCGCGGCUCCAUUGGCUCUGGGCUUGAUCCAUUCUGGGCCUUUACAUUCAAUGGGGCCUGGCUGGCCUGGCCAUGGACUUCCAGAGGCAACGGAUGGUCUGACUGAGGGGAGGGGCAGAUGGGGCUGCGGUGUGGGGCGGUGUUCCCGGAAUCCCAGAUCAAGCCGUAAUAAUUUGUUUCAGAAUUAAUGUGGGUUCACACCAUCUUUGCUGUUCUAGCUCAAUGAAGAUAAAAUAAAAAUGUACUCCCCUCCCCCAAAUGGAGGGAGGGAGACCAAGUCUAAUUGCGCCAGCUGGGCCGGCCGCCUGAAGCCACCACUGGGAAUAAAUCUCUCAGGGAGGGCCACUUGGCCCUCUCGGUUUCUAUCCAACAGGGCCUGCUGGCCCUAGUCACUGCCGUUUUAUUUAGCUGAGAAUCUUUUAUUGUGUCUGGAUUUGGAAGUUCUGUUCUCCCAGGGCUGAGAUCUCAUCAGAUUUCACCAGCUCUAUGGCAGGGGCAUGGCCAGAUACUCACAGGCCAGAUUCUUGGUGCUGGGUACCAGGGAAGGGAUCAGCAGUGGCCACCUCUGGCUACAGUGGAGAGCCCAGGCCUUUUGGGGGAAGAGCAGUGGCUUUUUGUCUCAUUUUGGGGGAUUCAAUCCAAGGAAGCCAACUGAAGCAAUAUGCUCUCCCCCGACUCACCCAUUCUUCCAUUCACGUAUCGUACAUUCAGCCAACACAUGCUUUUUAUACGCCUUCUUUGUGCCAGACUCUGAGGGUAAGAGGUGGCCGGGCAGGCGGGCAGGCGGGCAGGCAGACAGGCGGGCAGGCGGGCAGGCGGGCAGGCUUCCUGUCAGGGUCACCAUCUUUGUCUUACCACGCCUCAGGGUUAGCAUGCCCUCAUCUUGGACAUCUCUGAUGGUCCUUUCUCCUCAAUAUUUCAUUUUAUUCUAUUGGCUCAUCAGGUUCAGAAGAGGAGGUAUUAAUCCAGCAUGUUUAGAACUAUAGGAAGCUGACAGAGUGUUCUUCUUUUUGUUUGUUUGUUUUUUUCAAGAUCAGGUUUCCCUGCGUAGCCUGGGCUGUCCUGGAACUCACUCUGUAGACCAGGUUGGCCUCGAACUCACAGAGAUCCACCUGCCUCUGCCUCCCGAGUGCUGGGAUUAAAAGUGUGCACCACCACCGCCUGGCAACUGAGAACAUGUUCUAAGAAGCAAAAAUAACUCCUCAUGUUCUGGUGACAUGUGACUGCCGAAGCUGCCGAAGCCUCAGUCCUGAACUGGACGUGGGGUUGAGACCUCAGGCUCUUUCUCCUGGCCACACGUGCUCUGUGCAGUGUGUCAGCUAGUCUCAUGCUUUAAUAAGUUGUCCACACGUGCCUUUGGGCUGUCAAUCAGAUUUAUCUUCGUUCAGGCUGACGUGGACCCGCCAGAUGCCUCCAUCUCCAAAGGGCCGAUUAUAGCGUCCUCUGAAAGAGCUGGCUUACGCAGUGCUGAGGACUCCAGGGCUUCCGGUGUGCUAGGAGACCCCAUAGCCCCAAAUCAAAUCAGAGUCUAGGGCCUUGAGCAUGCCGGACCGGUGCUCUACCACUGAUCCAUGUGGGCAGAGGCUCCUGGAGUCUUUGGUCAGGGGCAUAAUGCAGCUGGGCCCGGCAUAGCCAGCGUUUCAGGUACAGGUGUGGCGGGGCUCAUCAGUGUCUGCAUUAGGGAAGCUCAGGGUCCAGUGGGGAAACACAGGCAGAGCCUUGCUGUCAACAAGGUUCAGAGCCUUGUGAGGCUGAAAUUGAGUCCCCACAGCGAGGUGCUAAGAGGGUGGAAACUUGAUCUGUGGUAGCAAGUUGGAGGCAAGUUGGAUUAUAAAUAAAAAUGGCCUGAUGUUGACCUCUGACCUUCACACUCAUGUUCACAUGUACACACACACACACACACACACACACACACACACACACACACACACGCACACCGCACACGCACAAAUGAUGUACCCUAGUCCACGACAUAGAAAAUGGACUGGUAGAAUCUCCAAAAUCUUUAAAGGACUCAAGCACUCAGUGACAUGAAUUCCCCAGAUAAUAACAGAGCAAUGACCCAUAUGGACUUCUCACAGCAGUGACAAAUGCCCCACUGUUCCCAUCAGGAAACACGGUGACAGCAGGCCCUGCUCUGGGCACCCAAGACUCUGAGGCUCCCUGGGGUCUCAAUGUAUCUCUGGCUCACUGGCAUCUUGGACACAGGGUCAUUACCAGGCCCCUGGCACCUGUGGAGUGCCGGAGGCCACCCUGGUCCUCACUCACAGCAGGGAACCUGUUCUCUGGGGCUCUGGGCACUUCCAUCCUCUUUUAAUUAAUUAAAAUACAUGUCACCAAGAGGACAGCAACAUCGCUCGGUGCCAUCCACUCGGCGGCCCCCAGAACAUGGUUUGACUUUUGUUGUAGGCCUCAGCCAACGGGGGUUCUGCUCUGGGGCCAUUUGGUCAGGGUUGAGGAGUAGAUGGCUCAGGCAGGAUGGUCCCACAAACUGGACGGAAUCUCACCCUCAUUCCAGUAGCAGGUGCCAAACCACAUGCAGCUGCCACAGGAUGGGAAAUAGGAAUGCCUGGUGGGCCCCCAUAUCUUGGUUAAUUUUUUUUUUCCUUUCAGAGCUAAGGACCGAACCCAAGGCCUUAAGCGCUCUACCACUGAGCUAAAUCCCCAACCCCUUCUUGGUUAAUUUUCUUAAAGAAUUAGUUUUAAUCCUGUAGAUGUGAAUGUCUGUGUGUGGGUAUGUGUACAUGUGCAGGUGCCCAUGGAGGCACCAGAUCUCUCAGGCAUGUGUGAACCACUGAUGUGAUAUGGGUGUUGGGUAUUGAACUUGGGUCCUACUCAAGAGCAAAACCCACUCUACCUCCGGGCCAUCUCUCCAGCCCCUACAUCUGGCUAAUGUUUUAGAGCUAAUUUCCUUCCGGUAUCUUGCAGGAGAGGAAGCUGAGGCCCGCAAUUCGAGGGGAGACACUGGGAAGAAACUGUAGUGUGCUCCCACUGGAGCCACACGCUCUCUGAAGAAGGCUCCUGAGAGGGACCCAAACUGGCCCUCUGGACUUCCGGCUGGGUCCCUACUACCUCAGCCUGUGUUUGUCUAAUCAGGAGGUGAGCGGCGGCGGCCAAUGCAAUGGGAGCUUUCCUGCCGUCAGAGGAGUUUAACUGCACACUGAACAGGCUGGAGCCACUUGAAACAUAAUCCCAUUGCGCCCGAGAACUGGCCUGGCGACUCCCUGGUGGUCUUCGCAUCUGGCGGCCGAGUCCCGAUGGAAACAAAUAUUCAAGCCUUGGCCCUCCAGCCCCACACUCCCUGCCGUCUGGCCCUCAUCAGUGGGCUGGAGAAGGUGUGGGGCGCAGAGACACCAGGGGGACAGGAGCUGCCUAGUUUUUGUCAGCUUGCUGCAGACUAGAGUCGCUUGGGAAGAAGGACCUUCUACUGAAGCUCUACCCUCAUCCCACUGGACUGCAGACAAGCCUGCAGGGCAUUUUUUGAUUGAUGAUGGAUGUGGAAUGGACCAGCCCACUGCCAGCCCUGGGCAGGUGGUCCUGGGUGCUGUAAGAAAGCAGGUUGAGCAAGCCAGUAACCAGCACUCUUCCGUGGCCUCUGCUUCAGUUCCUACCAGUGGGGUCCCUGCUCUGGCUUCUCUCAUGAUGGACUGUGACACGGAACUGUAAGUUGAACAAACCCUUUCGUCAAGUUGCUUUUGGUCACAGUGUUUACCACAGCAACAGAAAGCAAAGGCGGACAGGACCCCAAGUGGCUUUCUUUUCUCCAUCUGUAAAGUGGGGGAGAGCUUGGCCUGGGGUGGCCAAGAUUUGUGAAAUAGAAAUGAGUCUAUAGACUCUGAAAUGCAGGCAGGGGUGGGCACUGGUCGAGAUCUUCAAGGCAGGGUUGGUAAGAUGGCUCCGUGGGUAAAGGCCCUUUCUGUCAAGCUUGAUGACCUGAAUUUGAUCCCAGGACUCACAUGGUUUAAGGAGAGAACCAACUCCUACAGUUGUCCUCUGACCUCCACAUGUGUGUGCCUGCCACACAGAAAAUAAGACAAUACAAUGUAAUAAAAAUAUUUUCAAGCUGGGUGGUGGUGGCGCACACCUUUAAUCCCAGCACAUGGGAGGCAGAGGCAGGAGGAUCUCUGUGAGUUUGAGGCUAGCUGGUCUACAGAGUGAGUUCCAGGACAGCCAGAGAUAUACAGAAAAAUCUUGUCCCAAAAAAACAAAAAAAACAAAAUUUUUUUUUUUUCAAAAAUUUCCAAGGAUAGCUCCUGUCCCCUGUGUGGGAUAUGGCUCUCAUCAUGACAUGAUUGUAGGAUAUCUGGAUGGUGGUGGUAUAAAAAUGUUUCCCUGUUA